GACGAACGCUGGCGGCGUGCCUAAUACAUGCAAGUAGAACGCUGAAGGAGGAGCUUGCUUCUCUGGAUGAGUUGCGAACGGGUGAGUAACGCGUAGGUAACCUGCCUGGUAGCGGGGGAUAACUAUUGGAAACGAUAGCUAAUACCGCAUAAGAGUAGAUGUUGCAUGACAUUUGCUUAAAAGGUGCAAUUGCAUCACUACCAGAUGGACCUGCGUUGUAUUAGCUAGUUGGUGGGGUAACGUCUCACCAAGGGGACGAUAUAUAUUCGACCUGAC
rnacentral:rRNA from 1 species